rnacentral:rRNA from 1 species
GCCACCGUAAGGUGAGAGGAAGGUGGGAUGACGUCAAAUCAGCACGGCCCUUAUGUCCAGGGCUACACACGUGUUACAAUGGCCGGCACAGAGGGCAGCUACCUGGUGACAGGAUGCUAAUCUCGAAAAACCGGUCUCAGUUCGGAUCGAAGUCUGCAACUCGACUUCGUGAAGCUGGAUUCGCUAGUAAUCGCGCAUCAGCCAUGGCGCGGUGAAUACGUUCCCGGGCCUU